rnacentral:tRNA from 1 species
GGUCUUGUAGUUUAUUUAAAAUAUAAAGUUGCAAACUUUAGGAAACAUACUAUAUUGUCGGGACUU